rnacentral:lncRNA from 1 species
GUUUGUCAUAUUGGAGUCUUCAUAAAACAGUCUUUAGAACUGAGGGAGUCAGACCCGUGUCAGGCAAGGUUAUGAUGGUGUUUUUUACAUACAUUUAUAAUUGAACUCUAAUGUUCUAUUAUUCUAUAUAUUGUAUUGUAUUAUUUUGUAUUUCAUUGUAUUACAUUGUAUUUCACUGUAUUGCAUUGUAUAGUAUAAAAUUAUUGUUUGAUUGUAUUGCUUGACCCUCAU